UGGGAAUUUGAUAGGAUUUCACAGCUGUUU
rnacentral:piRNA from 1 species